rnacentral:rRNA from 1 species
UACGGGGGGAGCAAGCGUUGCUCGGAUUUACUGGGCGUAAAGGGCGCGUAGGCGGCCAGCACAAGUCAGUUGUGAAAUCUCCGAGCUUAACUCGGAAAGGUCAACUGAUACUGUGCGGCUAGAGUGCGGAAGGGGCAACUGGAAUUCUUGGUGUAGCGGUGAAAUGCGUAGAUAUCAAGAGGAACACCUGCGGCGAAGGCGGGUUGCUGGGCCGACACUGACGCUGAUGCGCGAAAGCUAGGGGAGCGAACGGG